rnacentral:rRNA from 1 species
UACGGGGGGAGCAAGCGUUGUUCGGAUUUACUGGGCGUAAAGGGCGCGUAGGCGGUCAGCACAAGUCAGUUGUGAAAUCUCCGGGCUUAACUCGGAAAGGUCAACUGAUACUGUGCGACUAGAGUGCAGAAGGGGCAACUGGAAUUCUCGGUGUAGCGGUGAAAUGCGUAGAGAUCGGGAAGAACAUCGGUGGCGAAAGCGCUCUGCUGGACUGCAACUGACACUCAGGGACGAAAGCUAGGGGAGCGAAUGGG